GGGACACGUGGUAUCCUGUCUGAAUAUGGGGGGACCAUCCUCCAAGGCUAAAUACUCCUGACUGACCGAUAGUGAACCAGUACCGUGAGGGAAAGGCGAAAAGAACCCCGGCGAGGGGAGUGAAAAAGAACCUGAAACCGUGUACGUACAAGCAGUGGGAGCACCUUCGGGUGUGACUGCGUACCUUUUGUAUAAUGGGUCAGCGACUUAUAUUCUGUAGCAAGGUUAACCGUAUAGGGGAGCCGCAGGGAAACCGAGUCUUAACUGGGCGUUAAGUUGCAGGGUAUAGACCCGAAACCCGGUGAUCUAGCCAUGGGCAGGUUGAAGGUUGGGUAACACUAACUGGAGGACCGAACCGACUAAUGUUGAAAAAUUAGCGGAUGACUUGUGGCUGGGGGUGAAAGGCCAAUCAAACCGGGAGAUAGCUGGUUCUCCCCGAAAGCUAUUUAGGUAGCGCCUCGUGAACUCAUCUUCGGGGGUAGAGCACUGUUUCGGCUAGGGGGUCAUCCCGACUUACCAACCCGAUGCAAACUACGAAUACCGAAGAAUGUUAUCACGGGAGACACACGGCGGGUGCUAACGUCCGUCGUGAAGAGGGAAACAACCCAGACCGCCAGCUAAGGUCCCAAAGUCAUGGUUAAGUGGGAAACGAUGUGGGAAGGCACAGACAGCCAGGAUGUUGGCUUAGAAGCAGCCAUCAUUUAAAGAAAGCGUAAUAGCUCACUGGUCGAGUCGGCCUGCGCGGAAGAUGUAACGGGGCUAAACCAU
rnacentral:rRNA from 1 species